AGUGAACGCUGGCGGUAGGCCUAACACAUGCAAGUCGAACGGCAGCACAGUAAGCGCUUGCUCUUACGGGUGGCGAGUGGCGGACGGGUGAGGAAUACAUCGGAAUCUACUUUUUCGUGGGGGAUAACGUAGGGAGACUUACGCUAAUACCGCAUACGACCUACGGGUGAAAGCAGGGGAUCUUCGGACCUUUCGCGAUUGAAUGAGCCGAUGUCGGAUUAGCUAGUUGGCGGGGUAAAGGCCCACCAAGGCGACGAUCCGUAGCUGGUCUGAGAGGAUGAUCAGCCACACUGGAACUGAGACACGGUCCAGACUCCUACGGGAGGCAGCAGUGGGGAAUAUUGGACAAUGGGCGCAAGCCUGAUCCAGCCAUACCGCGUGGGUGAAGAAGGCCUUCGGGUUGUAAAGCCCUUUUGUUGGGAAAGAAAAGCAGCAGGUUAAUACCCCGCUGUUCUGACGGUACCCAAAGAAUAAGCACCGGCUAACUUCGUG
rnacentral:rRNA from 1 species